CCGGGUGCGUAACACGUAGCUGACCUGCCCCUCAGCGGGGGACAACGCCGGGAAACUGGCGCUAAUACCGCAUAGUUUGACGCUAGUUAGAGAAGCGUCAAUAAACUUCCGGGGCUGAGGGAGGGGGCUGCGGCCCAUCAGGUAGUUGGUGAGGUAACGGCUCACCAAGCCGACGACGGGUAGGGGGCCUGAGAGGGUGGUCCCCCACACUGGGACUGACAACGGCCCAGACUCCUACGGGAGGCAGCAGUAAGGGAUAUUGCGCAAUGGGCGAAAGCCUGACGCAGCAACGCCGCGUGGAGGAAGAAGGCCUUCGGGUCGUAAACUCCUUUUGACGCUGACGGGGAAGGACGGUAGGCGUCGAAUCAGUCACGGCUAACUACGUGCCAGCAGCCGCGGUAAAACGUAGGUGGCGAGCGUUAUCCGGAUUUACUGGGCGUAAAGCGUGUGCAGGCGGGGUGACAAGUGGUGUAUGAAAUAUCCCGGCUUAACCGGGAAGGGUUAUGCCAGACUGUCAUUCUAGAGUGCGAGAGAGGGGCGUGGAAUUCCGGGUGUAGUGGUGAAAUGCGUAGA
rnacentral:rRNA from 1 species